rnacentral:lncRNA from 1 species
CCUUAGGCUCAAGUGGUAGGACGCGGUAAGAUCUGUCAGUAUUGUGGCAGGGAUCAUGGGGACUGAUCGCGCUAUCGCCUCAACAACAAGUGUCGCAUAUGUGGUAGUGCCCAACAUUAUGCAAGGGAGUGCCCAAGGAACCAGAAUCAGGUCAGACUUCCUAUCCAGGGCAGAGCUUACAAUCUCACCCAGCAGGAUGCAGAAGCCAACUCGAACGUAAUACAGGGUAUGUACACUAUUUGUAACCAUCUUGCUCAUGUUUUGAUUAAUACCGGUGCAUUGUAUUCAUUUAUUUCACCUAUUUUUGCAUCAAAAUUUAAUGUAUUACUUGAUAAACUUGAUUAUGUAUUGUUUGUGUCUACUGCUGGGAGUAUGACACUAU